AGUAUCUGUUGCAAUACACUUUAGGGAGCAGUACUUGAAGUACUUGUUCUUCAUAAGCUUAUUUCUUAAACAAAAUAACUUACAUUGUGUAGUAAUUGAUUGUGAGGUAGCUUUAUAGGUAUCUGAGUCUUUUUAUACUAACUAUUUAUUGCAAUUGGUUCCAAAUAUUUGGUGAAUUCAAUUAUUAAUUUGCACUGCUAGUUUCGUGGUGUCAUAUGCCUUUUGUGUUAGAAUUUGAAUUGUUCCCCCUAAACAAUUUUCUCUAUGUACAGGUUUGAUUGUGGCAUGUUUAUGUUAAAAUAUAUCGACUUCUAUAGCAGAGGCUUAAGUCUUUGUUUUGAGCAGGAACACAUGCCCUAUUUUCGUUUAAGGACCGCCAAGGAAACUCUGAAACUGAAAGCUGAUUGAUCGGAUGUGUAUGCCGGCUUUCAUCAACUACUUUCGAAGACCUUACUAGGAAUUGAAAUGGUGUGCAAAGAGAUUGCUUCUUCUGAUCUGAUUUUUCAAUAUAAAUACUGGACAAAGUAUGGAUAUUUCUUGUCAGUUGCAUUUACUGCUGUUAGUAAAAUAGGAUUCUCUUCUUAGGAUCUUAGUUUCUUCACUUGUAUUAGACUCAACAAUGGCUUGCAUUGCAUUGCAUUGGUGUUGAUUUUACAAUUUUUAACUUUUAUUAAUUAUUUACAUUUUCUCA